rnacentral:rRNA from 1 species
CGUCUAUAUACGUAUAGCAUAUCAAUAAGCGGAGGAAAAGAAACUAACUAGGAUACCCUCAGUAACGGCGAGUGAAGCGGGAAGAGCUCAAAUUUGAAAUCUUCAAGGUUCUACCUUGACGAAUUGUAGUUUAAAGAAGUGUUUUCUGUUGGAGUUUUGGUAAAAGUUCUUUGGAAUAGGACAUCAUAGAGGGUGAGAAUCCCGUAUUUGACCAUUAUUUCCAGCUUUGUGAUACACUUUCAAAGAGUCGGAUUGUUUGGGAAUGCAGUCCAAAAUGGGUGGUAAAUUUCAUCUAAAGCUAAAUAUUGGCGAGAGACCGAUAGCGAACAAGUACCGUGAGGGAAAGAUGAAAAGAACUUUGAAAGGAGAGUUAAACAGUACGUGAAAUUGUCAAAAGGGAAGCGUUUGACACCAGUGUUGUUUUCUCGAAAAUCAAUUAAAAAAGACCGGAUUUUGUGUUGUAUUGACUUUAUCAGCUUUCUGCACUCUUUUCUUGUCUUUUUUAAUGCACUUUUCGUUUAACAAGUCAACAUCAAUUUCUUUUGUUGUAAAAGGGUCAUUGGAAGGUGGCUUUCUUUUCGGAGAAAGUGUUUAUAGCCUUUGGCCUCUGCAAUCGGAGAGAUUGAGGUCUGCAGCGUAGAUCCUUCGGGGUUAGAUACAUUUGUGCUAAGUUAUAGCCUUUCAUAGACAACUUGUUGACUAUGAUCAGUCAUGUAGGCUUACUCGCUUAUGCUAUUUUACCUACGCUUAGGAUGUUGAAGUCAUCGUAUCGCGC